rnacentral:rRNA from 1 species
UACGGGGGGGGCAAGCGUUGUUCGGAAUUACUGGGCGUAAAGGGCUCGUAGGCGGCCAACUAAGUCAGACGUGAAAUCCCUCGGCUUAACCGGGGAACUGCGCCCGAGACUGCUUCUCUUGAGUCCCGGAGAGGAAGAUGGAAUUCCCGGUGUAGCGGUGAAAUGUGUAGAGAUCGGGAGGAACACCGGUGGCGAAGGCGGUCUUCUGGACGGUGACUGACGCUGAGGCGCGAAAGCGUGGGGAGCAAACGGG